rfam:Rattus norvegicus chromosome 6, whole genome shotgun sequence.
GGGGAUUUGGCUCAGUGGUAGAGCGCUUGCCCAGGAAGCGCAAAGUCCUGGGUUCGAUCCCCAGCCCCG